rnacentral:lncRNA from 1 species
CCGAGAGAACUUUCCUCGGAGAAGGUAAACACAGCCAGGGCCAGGCCAGGGUACUGGGUCGCUCCGAGGCUCGCAGCCUCCCAGCUACCUCUGGGAUGGGUGGCCCCUGUUUGCAGCCCUGUAGGUGCUGGCCCUGCACCAGACGCCACACCCACGACCUCUGCCCGGUGCUCCAGAUGCAAAAUGGUCAGAAAUGAGCUCAGGAUGGAGAAUGAGCAAGGAGUGAGCAGGCCAAGGCACCAUGGGGGGACAGAGCCGCGGCCCUCGCAGGUGUCAGAAACACCGGGGCCACCAAGGCAAACUGGACUUCUGGCCCACAAAGUACACGAGCAAGCGCACUGGACGGGCAUCCCCCGGAUUCCUCCCAAGGCAGCACUGUCGCCUGUCCUGACAGGAGAGCUCUGAGUUACAAUCUACACGGGGCAGGGCAAGGGGAAGGCUUGGACGACAGGUGUAACUCGACGGAAAAGAACAUGAAUCUUACAGCUUCCUCUUAUUCCAUCGAUUUAUAUUCUUCACACCUGGUUCACAUCGUUCGACUUUCACUUUCAACUGUAUCUAAUGAAAGAUCAUUUUGACAUGGGACCCGGUUUAUGGAGACCCUUCUCAGCUGCGGAGUCAGACCGCUCCUAGGGCAGGAUUACAGAGGUCCCACCGUCCACCUGAGCCCAGCACUGCGUGAGACGCUUCCUCUCUUCCCCUGUCGGGCCACCCGCAGCAUCCAGGGGUGCCGCACUUCCCCACAGCGUCUCUGUGUCCCUGAUAAACCUUUGUUGAUCAUAGUCGUA